CCUACGGGGGGCAGCAGGGAGGAAUAGUGGGCAAUGGGCGCGAGCCUGAACCAGCCAAGUAGCGGGAAGGAUGACUGCCCUACGGGUUGUAAACUUCUUUUAUAAAGGAAUAAAGUGAGGCACGUGUGCCUUUUUGUAUGUACCUUAUGAAUAAGGAUCGGCUAACUCCGUGCCAGCAGCCGCGGUAAUACGGAGGAUCCGAGCGUUAUCCGGAUUUAUUGGGUUUAAAGGGUGCGUAGAUGGGUUGUUAAGUCAGUUGUGAAAGUUUGCGGCUCAACCGUAAAAUUGCAAUUGAUACUGGCAGCCUUGAGUACAGUUGAGGUAGGCGGAAUUCGUGGUGUAGCGGUGAAAUGCUUAGAUAUCACGAAGAACUCCGAUUGCGAAGGCAGCUUACUAGACUGCCACUGACAUUGAUGCUCGAAAGUGUGGGUAUCAAACAGGAUUAGAUACCCCUGUAGUC
rnacentral:rRNA from 1 species